CGAAGGAAAAACAUGUUCGCAAAUGUGGAAGAGUCCCAAAUAGGAGAUACUCCACAGGCGGCUAAACACGUCAUGCAUGUCCAAAAGUGAUUGCAUAAGUGGCACUCAGAUAUAAAAGUCAGUAUUAAGUGACAUGUUUGGAAAUUGAUCUUUCUGCAAAAACUUGCAAUGAAAACUCAAGCAGAUGUAACGAUUUUUGAUUUAUGAUUGUUUACUAGUAUUUGUAUUCAUAAAAUGCAUUUUGUAUUUAUUAAUGUAUUUUAGUAACAACCGGAAGCAUAUAUGUCUAAAAUGUAUUUAAUAUGUUGUACAUGUAUAUCAUUGUUUUACCUUGAAAUUCAUCCAAUGUUUUAUUGUUUAUCGUAUGUUUUGUACUUUCAUUUUCUCAACCUUCCGAUUGCGGGAACUUAGGUGUAGCUUUUACCUAGAAUAGUCGACCAAAUGGGUUGCGCAACGUCACGUUAGGUUGUUUGAUGUCAUAUAUAAACGUGAGCAGUUAGUCAGUUUUAGAGUUGAGUUUUUGAUGUUUAGAAGUCAGAUUAUUUAGAAGUCGUUACCAGACAGUGUUUUACAAAGUCGUAACCAGACGAGCCCAAUAUGGCAAAGUAAUUUUAGGUGUAUUUAGGUGUAAUUUAAGGUGUAUUUUAAGAAAUUAUAUUUAUAGGAAAAUUUACAAUAAUUGAACUUAAAUUUCGGGGAAUUUAUUAUAAAAUCUAGCAAGUGACGUUGCGUAACUGGUUAUUAAUUGUUUUCUUGAUUUGUUCAGUAAUUGAAAUUAAAUAUCAUCAGAAUAUAAUUAUAAAACAUUU